rnacentral:rRNA from 1 species
UACGGAGGGGGCUAGCGUUGUUCGGAAUCACUGGGCGUAAAGCGCACGUAGGCGGAUCCUUAAGUCAGGGGUGAAAUCCCGAGGCUCAACCUCGGAACUGCCUUUGAUACUGGGGAUCUUGAGUCCGGGAGAGGUGAGUGGAAUUGCGAGUGUAGAGGUGAAAUUCGUAGAUAUUCGCAAGAACACCAGUGGCGAAGGCGGCUCACUGGCCCGGUACUGACGCUGAGGUGCGAAAGCGUGGGGAGCAAACAGG